GUAUGAAUGAUGACUUACUUUCUUUAGUCGGAUACCCCUUCACUCUCAAUGAGUGAAACUCCUUGUCUGACACGC